GAUCAUGGCUCAGGAUGAACGCUAGCUACAGGCUUAACACAUGCAAGUCGAGGGGCAGCAUUUUAGUUUGCUUGCAAACUGAAGAUGGCGACCGGCGCACGGGUGAGUAACACGUAUCCAACCUGCCGAUAACUCCGGAAUAGCCUUUCGAAAGAAAGAUUAAUACCGGAUAGCAUACGAAUAUCGCAUGAUAUUUUUAUUUAAAGAAUUUCGGUUAUCGAUGGGGAUGCGUUCCCAUUAG
rnacentral:rRNA from 1 species